AUUUUGGGUUAAAUGGGGGAUUUUCGAAGAGGAAAUGCUUCGUUUCAGGUUGAAUUGGGGGUUUUCGAAGCCAAAAUGCGUGAUUUUCACUUAAAUGGGGGAUUUUCCAAACGAAAAUGCAUGAUUUUCUUUUUCGAUGGGGGAUUUUCAUAGAGAAAAGGCAUGAUUUUUGUGUUAAGUGAGGGAUAUUUGCAAAGAAAAGGCAUGAUUUUCGGGUUACAUGGGGGAUUUUUCAAGAGAAAAUGUGUGAUUUUCAGUUAAAUCGCGGCAUCUCUAAGAGAAAAUGCCUGAUGUUUGCAUUAAAUGUGUGAUUUUCAGGUUACAUGGGAGAUUUUUGAAGAGAAAAUACAUGAUUUUCGGGAUAAAUGAGGGAUUCUUGAAGAGAAAAUGCGUGAUUUUCGGGUUAAAUGGGGGAUUCUGGAAGAGAAAUGGCAUUUUCUUCUGGUUAAAUGGGGGAUUUUCGAAGAGAAAAUGCACGAUUUUUGUUUACAGGUGAGAUAUUUGUAGAGGAAAUGCGUGAUUUUUUGGAUACAUGGGGGAUUCCUGUAGCAAAACUGUUUGAUUUUGGGGUCCAAUGGGGGGAUUUUUUGAAGAGCAAAAGUGUGAUUUUCGAGUUAAAUGGGGGAUUUUCCAAGAGAAAAUGCGUGAUUUUGGGGAUGAUGGGGUAUUUUUGAAGAGAUAAAGCAUGAUUUGGGGGUAAAUGCGUAUUUUCCAAGAGAAAAGGGGAGAUUUUCGGGUUACAUGGGGGAUUUUUCAAGAGAAAAUGUGUGAUUUUCAGUUAAAUCGCGGCAUCUCUAAGAGAAAAUGCCUGAUGUUUGCAUUAAAUGUGUGAUUUUCAGGUUACAUGGGAGAUUUUUGAAGAGAAAAUGCGUGAUUUUCGGGAUAAAUGAGGG
ensembl:lncRNA